UUACGGCCAUAUAACGUUGAAACAUCGGUUCCUGUACGUUCAACGAAGUUAAGCAACGUCGAGCCUAGUCAAUACGUAGAUGGGUGACCGCUUGGGAAUACCGGGUAUUGUAA